AUUGAACGCUGGCGGCAGGCCUAACACAUGCAAGUCGAGCGAGCGGCGGACGGGUGAGUAAUGUAUGGGGAUGUGCCCGAUAGAGGGGGAUAACUACUGGAAACGGUGGCUAAUACCGCAUACUAUUGGAUGAACCGAUAUGGGAUGAGCUAGUUGGUGGGGUAAAGGCUCACCAAGGCGACGAUCUCUAGCUGGUCUGAGAGGAUGAUCAGCCACACUGGGACUGAGACACGGCCCAGACUCCUACGGGAGGCAGCAGUGGGGAAUAUUGCACAAUGGGCGCAAGCCUGAUGCAGCCAUGCCGCGUGUAUGAUGAAGGCCUUCGGGUUGUAAAGUACUUUCAGCGGGGAGGCGUUACCCGCAGAAGAAGCACCGGCUAACUCCGUGCCAGCCGCCGCGGUAAUUC
rnacentral:rRNA from 1 species